rnacentral:rRNA from 1 species
UACGUAGGGCGCAAGCGUUAUCCGGAAUUAUUGGGCGUAAAGAGCUCGUAGGCGGUUUGUCGCGUCUGCCGUGAAAGUCCGGGGCUCAACUCCGGAUCUGCGGUGGGUACGGGCAGACUAGAGUGAUGUAGGGGAGACUGGAAUUCCUGGUGUAGCGGUGAAAUGCGUAGAUAUCUGGAGGAACACCGGUGGCGAAGGCGGCAUCCUGGACCAACACUGACGCUGAGGAGCGAAAGCCAGGGGAGCAAAGCGGG